AUUACCAAUUAACCUAACACCACUAACUGCAUGUCUUUGGAGGAAACCAGAGUACCCAGAGGGAACAUGCAACUCCACACAGCAAGGCUCAGAGCUAAUGAUGAAGGUAUGGGCAGAUCUUAGGCCUGCAUCUAUGGACUGGCCUUGUAUCCACCCAUGGUCAUUAACUCACCUGCCUGGCCACUCUCCACCAAGAUGUCCCAGCUGCUUCUAGAUUCCAGCUUGAUCGCCUUCAGUUCCUUUCCCAGCUUCUUGCCCUCUGCUCUUAAAACCUCACGGAAUACCAUGUUCGCUCCUGCAAAAUAAAUCACUUUCCAA